rnacentral:rRNA from 1 species
GGCGGACGGGUGAGUAAUAUAUAGGUAAUGUGCCCUAGAGAAGAGGAUAACAGCUGGAAACGACUGCUAAUACUCUAUAUGCCUUUAAGACAAAAGUCUGCAAGGGAAAUAUUUAUAGCUCUAGGAUCGGCCUGUACGGUAUCAGCUAGUUGGUGAGGUAAUGGCUCACCAAGGCAAUGACGCCUAACUGGUUUGAGAGGAUGAUCAGUCACACUGGAACUGAGACACGGUCCAGACUCCUACGGGAGGCAGCAGUGGGGAAUAUUGCACAAUGGGGGAAACCCUGAUGCAGCAACGCCGCGUGGAGGAUGACACAUUUCGGUGCGUAAACUCCUUUUAUAUAGGAAGAUAAUGACGGUACUAUAUGAAUAAGCGCCGGCUAACUCCGUGCCAGCAGCCGCGGUAAUACGGAGGGCGCAAGCGUUACUCGGAAUCACUGGGCGUAAAGAGCGUGUAGGCGGGUUAAUAAGUUUGAAGUGAAAUCCUAUGGCUCAACCAUAGAACUGCUUUGAAAACUGUUAACCUAGAAUAUGGGAGAGGUAGAUGGAAUUUCUGGUGUAGGGGUAAAAUCCGUAGAGAUCAGAAGGAAUACCGAUUGCGAAGGCGAUCUACUGGAACAUUAUUGACGCUGAGACGCGAAAGCGUGGGGAGCAAACAGGAUUAGAUACCCUGGUAGUCCACGCCCUAAACGAUGUACACUAGUUGUUGUGAGGCUAGACCUUGCAGUAAUGCAGUAAACACAUUAAGU